rnacentral:rRNA from 1 species
AGAGGGUGCAAGCGUUAUCCGGAUUCACUGGGUUAAAGGGUGCGUAGGUGGGCAGGUAAGUCAGUGGUGAAAUCAUCCGGGCUUAACCCGGAAACUGACCAUUGAUACUAUCAAGUCUUGAAUACCGUUGGAGGUAAAGCGGAAUAAUGUCAUGUAGCGGUGAAAUGCUUAGAUAUGACAUAGAACACCAAAUUGCGAAGGCAGCUUACGUACCCGAAAUAUUGACACUGAGGCACGAAA